UACGUAGGGUGCGAGCGUUGUCCGGAAUUAUUGGGCGUAAAGAGCUCGUAGGCGGUCUGUCGCGUCGAUCGUGAAAACUCGGGGCUUAACCCUGAGCUUGCGGUCGAUACGGGCAUGACUGGAGUUCGGCAGGGGAGACUGGAAUUCCUGGUGUAGCGGUGAAAUGCGCAGAUAUCAGGAGGAACACCAAUGGCGAAGGCAGCUCGCUGGAACGGUGCUGACGCUGAGGCGCGAAAGCGUGGGGAGCGAACAGG
rnacentral:rRNA from 1 species